rnacentral:rRNA from 1 species
AGAACGAACGCUGGCGGCAUGCCUAAUACAUGCAAGUCGAACGAACACUUCGGUGUUAGUGGCGCACGGGUGCGUAACGCGUGGGAAUCUGCCCUUGGGUUCGGAAUAACAGUUGGAAACGACUGCUAAUACCGGAUGAUGACGAAAGUCCAAAGAUUUAUCGCCCAGGGAUGUGCCCGCGUAGGAUUAGCUAGUUGGUGAGGUAAAGGCUCACCAAGGCGACGAUCCUUAGCUGGUCUGAGAGGAUGAUCAGCCACACUGGGACUGAGACACGGCCCAGACUCCUACGGGAGGCAGCAGUUAGGGAAUAUUGGACAAUGGGCGCAAGCCUAGAUCCAGGC